rnacentral:rRNA from 1 species
CCAGACUCCUACGGGAGGCAGCAGUGGGGAAUAUUGCACAAUGGGGGAAACCCUGAUGCAGCGACGCCGCGUGAGUGAAGAAGUAUUUCGGUAUGUAAAGCUCUAUCAGCAGGGAAGAAAAUGACGGUACCUGACUAAGAAGCCCCGGCUAACUACGUGCCAGCAGCCGCGGUAAUACGUAGGGGGCAAGCGUUAUCCGGAUUUACCGGGUGUAAAGGGAGCGUAGACGGCAAUGCAAGCCAGAUGUGAAAGCCCGGGGCUCAACCCCGGGACUGCAUUUGGAACUGUGUAGCUGGAGUGUCGGAGAGGCAGGCGGAAUUCCUAGUGUAGCGGCGAAAUGCGUAGAUAUUAGGAGGAACACCAGUGGCGAAGGCGGCCUGCUGGGCGAUGACUGACGUUGAGGCUCGAAAGCGUGGGGAGCAAACAGGAUUAGAUACCCUCGUA